UCUACCUUUUUUUCUUUUAAA
rnacentral:piRNA from 1 species